ensembl:lncRNA
CUCACUUCUUAAAGCGCUGCCCUUUGCUGCGACCGCCAUAUUUCUUCUUUUCCCGAGGUGGAAGCUUAUUAAUAUUGGAUUUCUUUGCCCGUGUGGUUCUUUCUGGAACAUUUUCCAGACCCCAACCAUGCCUUAUGGCAUAUUUCUUGGAAAAAAUUACACCAAAAAUUCAUAAAAUAUUUUUAAAAACCUAAACUUUCUUCUAGUAUUUUCUUGACACCUUCUCAGUAUUUUACAGAUACUUGGGGCUAUUUUAAGGCAAUUUUCCAUUUUAAAGGACGUUUUCUUUGGAAUGAUUUUUGGUUGACUCCUCUGGUUUUUUGUGGUUUCUUUUUCUUUUUCUCCUCCUUUUCUAUAUUUUUUGCCCAUCGGGGCUGUGGAUACCUGGUUUUAGUGAGUAUAUAGCUAGGUGGAUAGAUAUAUUAUUAUUGUUAUUAUUUUUUACCCAACGGGGUCAUGGAUACCUGCCUUUUAUUUUAUUUUUUUUAAACUUGCCCAUCGGGGCCACGGAUACCUGCUUUUAAUUUUUUUUUCCCCCUUAGCCCAUCGGGGCCUCGGAUACCUGCUGUGUACCCCCUCUCUCCCUAACCUUCUGGCCCAUCGGGGCAAUGGAUACCUGCCUCUUUUUUUUUUUGUUUUUUUGCCCAUCGGGGCCUUGGAUACCUGCUCUAAUUUUUUUUUUUCCUUGCCCAUCGGGGCCUCGGAUACCUGCUUUAAUUUUUUUUUCCUUGCCCAUCGGGGCCGCGGAUACCUGCUUAGAUUUUUGUUUUAUACCACCCAUCGGGGCUUUAUAUGGUUGGAAAAGUGUUGGGUUUUGUGGUUCCUUGUACUAUCUGGAAUGUCUACAAAAUUUUGCUGCUAAUCGUUUGUGUUGUGUGAGUGGACCUACGGCUUUGGUUGGGAGAUGACUUUGCAGUUAGGCUAGAGGGUUAGUUAGGCUGGGGAGGAAAGAUGGCGGCCACUUCAGAUUUGCCGCCCAGCUUGGCUGAGGGGUAGCUGUGCUAAGUAUCACUAGGAAGGUAAGAUGAAUAAUGUGACAAGCAAAGGAAAUGGUAUGCAUUGCAUGAGUUAAAUGUUUUGAAUGAGCUGACUUGGGUCAUGUUAGGAGCUUGGCAUGAAUUGUGGUAUCAUGAGGUGGGAAAACAUAGGAUCAUCCUAUGUCAUAUUACAAGGGUCUAAUGGAAAAUGAGCGGGAGAAGAAUUAGGCGCAGUGUUCAAAAUGGCGAUUUUGACCUUGCAGCAUUGCUUAGCAUGGCUCUCUGCUUUGUUAGAGUGUUCAAAAUGGCGGAUCCAUUUUGCCGCAGUGUUCCAGUGGCGGGAAGCCACAUCAUGGGUGUCUUUGUUCUAGUGUGCAGCAUGGCGGUAGAAAUAUUCUGUUACAUAGUAGAAGAUGGCCGCUUAAGUACUUGCCGCAGUCUAAAACAUGGCGGGCUUUUGUCUCUGCCGUGUGCAUUUCCUGAUAGGUUUUGCUGCAGGGACAAUAUGGCUGACCUUGUCAUGUGGAUAUCAUGGCAGUUUGUCACGUGGAUAUCGUGGCAGGGGUGUUUGACCGUUACAUUCUUGGCGGGCUUUGCAUCAGGAGGGCCUGCCGCAUUGUUAAAGAUGGCGUACUUUGCCGCGGAAAAAGUGAAAGGAGGGAUUGGCAGCGUUAGAUUGCCGCGUGCCCCACCCAAUCAGAAAGGGUGGUAGAAUUGGUCACAGCCAGUUAGUGGAGGAUGGAGUUAGAUGAGUUAGCAUAGCACCUCACUGCCGUCUCUAAUCAGCCAGUCAGGACUGGCCACAUUUGUACUAAUCUCAGUGGGUGGUACCAAAGUCUUUCCAAGGACAUUUGGCCUUUCCACUUCCUCCCUCCCUCUCACUGGCUCCCUCCCCUCCCUCACUGCCACUUGCAGUGCUGGAUAUUAGGUUGUGCAGGCAGAACCUUACGCCAUUCCUCUGCAUUGGUGCCGUGGCCAAAGCCCUUCCCCCACUUCCCCCUCCCCCGCCCCCUGCUCUUCUGCGCUGUGGCCAGGGGCAGUGCUCCAUGCCUGCCUAAGUGUGAACUUGGCGGUGAGUCGUGGCAAGGACCAGAAUGGAUCGCAGAUGAUCGUUGGCCAACUGUUGGCAGAAGAGGAAUCCCUGCCUUCCUCAAGAGGAACACCUACCCCGUGGCUAAUACUGGGGGAUGAAUUCUGAGCUGGUUCCCCCCCACUCAAGAGGAAGGAUGGAUCAAGUUUAGGUGGAGUGAAGGCUGCACUGGACAGCAUCCAAAGGACAUUCCAAGCAUAUCAGACCUGAAGACUGCAAGCAACUUUAAGAAGCUCCAUAUUCAGCAGGGCUUUCCUUUUGAGAAUCUGAAUAAGCUCCAAGCAAUCUAAUAGGAUGGCUUGCAGUUUCCCUGGAGAAAAAGAUUUACCUCAAAAGAAUAGGCCUGUUGCUUUACAGUGUUAGUGACCCAUUCCCUUUGACGAUUCCUAGGUGGAGAUGGGGCAUGAGGAUCCUCCAGGGGAAAGAUUCACUACCACUGAGCAACAACUCUAGGCCAGGAGGUUAUACCAAGAUUCUUUCCUGGGCCCAGUUAAGAAGGUGAAGUCUCAAGACAACCACCACACAUCCAGAGCUCCUGGUUGUUCCCUUCAUAUUUGCCAAAUCAUUAUCUUUCCCUGAAGCAGUGCAAAGAGCAAGAAAUGUGAACACACCAAGGAAGAUCAACGUGCCUGGCAUGCUAGCAUUUUAGAAUAGCAGAAUGAAUGUGUAUUUGUUUGCUUGUCUAUUUCUUCUUUGAAUGUUUUUGGUCUUUCUUGUCUAAAGUAUGUCUUACCCAUUUCCAUGAUUCUCUUGCUCGUUUCUUCUCUGUGUAUCUUUGUCUCAUUUACUUUUUUGUACCCAGGAGUGGUCUGUGUCUUGUCUUGAAUGUCUCUCUCUAGUCUUCUUCAUUUUGUUGCUGAUUCUACUUGCUCUGCUAGAUCUAGCUCUUCUUUCACUGUUCUCUUUGAGCCUCUUGAGUUAUGUGUGCCUUGUGCUCAUUUCUUGCUACGCCUGCCUCUCUUCUUUUUCUCUUUGUGAACUCUGUCACCCAUUCCCCUUGUUGGUUUGACAUUUUACCUUUUCUGAUACUGGCUACCCUUCUGCUGUUUCUACUCUUUAUCGUGCAUAUUUCUCUUUUCUACAUAUUCUUUGUGCCUUUCUUGGGCCAUUUUCUCUUUUUUUCCCCAUGCUUUGUGUGCCCCAGUGUCUCUUUGUUCUUUGUGGUUUUCAGUUUCAGCAUUCAUCUCUGUUCUCUUGGUUCUUCUCUCGUUUUGCCUUUCUAUUCACUUUUGAGUAUUUCUUUAGUCUAUGUCUCCCCCUCUUCGAUUUCAUGCAAUUCUCUCUCCUUGCAUAUUUUUUGUGCUUGUGUGUGUGUGUGUGCUCUUUUGUGUGUUUGUAAAGGCGCCUCCUAACUGCUUCCAGUAGGUGCAGAGUGUCAGCUAUCAAAAUAAGCAUUGCAGAGCUGUUCCUUAUGCCAGGCCACCCUGUGAGAUGAACCAAAACCAACAGAAGGUCCAAGGGUCUAGACUGGAGUUGGAUAGAAGACUCAAGUCUCAGUGAGACAGAAGGCCAAAGACCCAGGAUGGGAUUAAAAAAACCUGUCUUGAAGACCUGUGACCCAAAAGAUGGAAGUGCCCUAGCACGCAUAAAGACCCAGGACUCAAACCUAUCUAUAUAAGACAGAAGGCCCAAGAGAGACAGAUAUUUCAAGACUAAAUUAGAUGGAAACUGGAGGUUCAUGACAGAGAUACCAGGAAAGAAAGAAGCCCCAGGACCAAAGGAAAUUCCAAGAUGAGACUCUUAAACCCCAGCUCUUUUUUAUUGCUAACCCUACUCUUGGACAUUUUGAGUUCUCCCUUCCUUCUUCUCAUGUCUCCAUUUAUAUCUACUUCUUUUGAGAUGUCCUUUUUGAUGUUGCUGUUACCUUUAAAAAAAAACAUAUCUUUAGAUCAGUAAUAUUAUGCUUUGGCCUGUUUUUAUUACAGUUUUGAGCCACUUAUUAAGUUUUUGAAGUUUUAAACUUCCAUUUCUCUUCGCCUCUCCACUUGUGAGGGACACAUAGCUGACAUUAUAUUUCAGUCCCCUCUUUCCUCAGAAGCUCUAGGCUAAUGAGAGAAGGAAAGUAUCAGGUUCAGUUAUUGAGGGGAAACAAAGUGCCAAGCUAAGUAGAGAAAAUGUGAAGAGAUGCUCCACAGGCCAAUGAGAAUUAGACAAGAAAUACACAGAUGUGCCAGUUUGCUGAGAAGUGUGAGCCAGCAACAUGUUACUUAUUUGAGCUUGGGUGAGCAGGACACCUGAGGUUUGGGAUUCUUAUUGAUGGUUAUGAAGGAGGAUUGGGCCUAACACAUAAUGAGGCCCCAAGGAAGGAGUGUGAACUCCCUGCUCAUAGUAGUGGCCUAAUAAUGUGGUAAGCUGCAUAAGUUUUAUGCCUCGGUUUAAUACCCACCUCUAGGCCUAAAGGUGAGAAAAUUUGGGAAUAUUUAGCAGGUUUAAUCCUUUCAUUGAUUUUUUUCCUUUUACCAUAAGGAAAGUUAAUUUUAGUGAUAAUAUAUAUGAAAGCACUGUAAAACACAAAAAAAGCAAGACAUUCUCAUUAAUAAUGUAUUGGCACUCAUGCAUAGCUAACAUUUGAAAAUGCAUUGUCAGUUGUGAAGCAUUAUGUAAAUCAAGGGUUAUCACACCCUUUUUGUAAAGGGUCAGAUGGCAAUUAUUUUAUACUUUGCAGGCCAUAUGGUCUCUCUCUGCUUUUUUUUCGUUUAAAGUGAAUAUGGUCUGUGGGCCACAGUUUAUCACCCCUGAUGUAAUUUGCCAGGGACUGUGUGCUGAAUGAUAUUAAUUUCUUUCUUUGUGCCUGUCCCUGUAUGCAUUAAGGAUGCAAUGAUUACUUAUGGUCAUAUCCAGGUGAUAUGAAGAAAAAUAUAUGAAUGUGAGUUAUAAACUAUUAUGCACUUUAAAAGCUUGUCGCAACUUUCAGAGUUGAUGAAUGAAUAUUACAUGGUAUAUACAUUUCUAGGCACUGUAUAUACAAAGAACAAAAGUGUGAAUAAAGUACUUUCUCAAAAGUAUGAAAUACUGUACAGAUAUUAGGAAUUAAGUCUAUGAUAAAUGAGUAAUUCAUGUAUUUGUGGCCAUUGUGUUUCUGUGGCUCUGAUGAUUUUGAGUAAAGAUGUAGUAUUCCAAGUCACAGAAAAGAAAACAUUGUUCAGUUGCUAAGUCGUGUCUGACGCUUUGUGACCCCAUGAAUUGCAGCAUGCCAGGCUUCCAAAUCCUUAAACUAUAAAGUAUACUGCAAACACAAGGGAUUUAAGCUAUUGUGAUUACUUAUAAUGUGCCAGAUAACAUCCUGGGCACUACAGAUGUCAAAGGAAAAAAAAUGUUGUUAUUAUAGAAUGAUUAAAAAUUUUAGAUUUUAAAGUGCUUUGUACUAAAGCACUGUAUAAAUACCAAUGGGCUAUAUGUUUAUGAAUGAAUGAAUAAGUAUUAAUUUCCUUAUAUAUGCCAGCUAUUGUUUCAGGUACUGUGAAAUCCAAGACAAUGCUCCCAAGUAAUAAGAGGGAUGUUUAUGUCCUAUACUACUUAGACAUAAGGAAUUAGAUAUUACUUAUUUUAAUCAAUAAAGACUUUACUGAUGAUGUUGAGCUAAAUUAUUACCAGUAUAUUUUCCAAGGUAACAGGAAAAUGUAAUGAAUGAGAUUGAGCUUUCUAACUAUAAAAUGCUACAUAAAUAUAAAACAUUAGGUGUUUUCUUUGUGAACAAAACUUAUGUUGAGACAGACAUUUGUUUGUGUGUGUUAGUCAUUCAAUCAUGUCUGACUCUUGUGACCCCAUGGACUGUAACCCACCAGACUCCUCUCUCCGUGGAUUUCUCCACACAAGAAUACUGAAGUGGGUUGUCAUUCCCUUCUCUAGGGGAUAUUCUUGACCCAGAAACUGAACUCAGGUCUCCUGCACUGCAGGCAGAUUCUUUACCAUCUAAGCUAUAGAUGCUCAUUGUGUGCUUGACCCACUAUGAGAAAGGUAGUAUAAAUCUCUCAGUAUACAAACUGAGAGUUUAAAUACUUGGUAAAUGAAUGGGUCAUUAAUAUUAGUUGCCUACUAUGUGAACUCACUGUUAUAGGCACUAAAGAGACACACAAAUUUAUUAUUUUAUUGUGCCUACAGCUGAGAAUAGGCAAUACACAUGUUAAUAUUUUGUGAACUCUAAAAGCACCAUAUAAGUGUAACUAUUGAUUUCCUCAGUUGGUAUGCCUAAUACUAGGCUUGCAAAAUUGUUUCAUAGUUAUUAUACCGUGAAAAAAGUCAGAAAAAAUUUGAGCAAGGAUUGUUAAUUAUUGAACACUUCAAAUAUGAUACAUAAAGGACUAAAUGUCUGAUGAAUGCAAGACUGGAUGAUAAUUAUGUGCCAGUCUCCUUGAUAAGCAUAAGAGAUAUGAAGAUAAUCCAUCUUUACUGUGUUCUGGGCAGCAGAAUGUAAUAUAUAAAAUCAAUUUGUAGGUCUUAAACUGGCAUACAUAUAUAAGCCAUAUCUGCUGAAUGAACACUGAUUACUUACUCUCUCUUAUUCCGAGAGAGAGCAACUAAGGAUGCAAAAAUUCAUUGUCAUUAUUGUUGAACCUGCAACAGAGAUCUGUGUAAAUUUUACAAAGCUUACUGUUCUAUACAGAUCUAAAGAAUUAACUGUUGACUUAAUGAAUGGUUACUGAUUACUUUCUAUCUAUAAAGCUCGGAACUGUGUAUGCUCUAGGAUAUAAAAAUGACUCUCCUUAUCAGAUGGUGUAAAUAACAUGUGUGGGAAUCCAGACUAAAAGUUGCUUAACCAUUGCUCAGCUUAUUUGAUGAUAAAAAUAUGGGCAGAAUGGAAUUGUGCAAGGCAGUAUGCUGAAUGCUGAGCUAGGUGGAAAGAUAAAAUCCAGACCAGAAGGCCACUUGCUCCCUGGCUUGACUGAAGGAAUGGAAUUUUUUUGUUUCUUUGUUUAAAGAGCAAGAUGUUAUCAUUCUCCAUUGGUCUUUUAAAUGCUGAAGAUGGAGGUGAAUUCAGUCCACUCUGGCCUGGCAUAGAGACACUGAAAGAGUAAAAAAUGGUUCAGGUUGGCUUUUAGAUUAAUUUGAUGAACAGUGUCUUUUAUGUAAAAUACAUCAUUCUAGGUCCUGAGCAUAAGAGAUAUGAAAUGGGCCUAGUCUAAAGGGCUUUAGAUAGAUCAAAGAUCAUAACUGAAGAUCCAAAAACAUAUUUGAGUUUUGAGUAAAUAUUUGAGUUCCCGUUCCCUAGAUCCUAUUCCUGUUCCUUGAAUUCUUGUUCCUAUUUUCUUGGUUAAGUCUGGUCCAGAAAACCUAUUGACUUUCCUUGGAAACUUAAAAAAUAGAAAAAAAAAUAUUGUUCUUUCAAUGUAAAAUGAAGAUAUAUUUCUUGGCUCUAGAAAGUAUCAAUGUCAUGUGCUCAUUGACCUAGAUUGAAGCCAGAAGAUUAAUAAAAGGCCUCAGAGUUUGUCCUUUAAUUCAUUAAUAUUCUGUUUUUAUUAUAGUUAAAUGGGUAAGAUGACAAUUAGGAUUAUUAUGGCAUAGAGUCAGGAAGAUGAUAAAAAAGAUCCUUCCUAGAUUUUCCAUAUUUUGUAAAUUAUUCACUUGAAUGAAGUACUGUUCUUAAGUCCUGAGGAGAAUGAAGAGAUUUAAAUGACCUAGACCAAAAUAUACUUUAAUUUCACUAGUUCAUGGAGGACACACAAGAACAAAUUUAAUAGGAGAUUGCAAUUCUUUCAUUAGUUGGAAAAACUAAAGUAGCUGUGAUGUUAAGAUACUGAGAUGGAAUGAUUAAACAGAUCACCUUCUCUUUGGCAUGUUUUGUAGAGAAGGAAUAAAAAAGCUUUUCAGUUAUUCAUACAAGCAUUGAAGAAGGUGAUGCUAAAUGAAAUAGAUCUGGUAAAAAGGUAAUUGUCUUGGAGAUGCAGUUAAAAAAACAUGAAAUGGAGUGAAACUUCAUUGAAUGAGUGUCUAUUUCAAGGCAUUGUGCUAAUUCCUAGACAGAAAACAAAAUAGAUUUUGACUGAAAGACACUUACUUGACUUGGAAACUGGUAUAUAAGAGAAAAGGUUAUUGUUAAUUAAUUUUUAAAAUUUAUUCAUUCAUUCUGCAAGUAUGUUUGAGUGCCUAUUGUAAAUAAGCUCCUUAGCUGGAUUCUAGCUGGGUUCUCUAGCUAGCCCCCAGAGAGAGACAUGAGAAAAUGAAUGCCUUCCCAGAGAACUUAAAAUUUGCCCUUUGGCCUGUUUUCUGAUCAGGCCAUUUCUAAAUGGCUUACUUCCUCAAUAAUAUUAUGUGGUUUAAUUUCUACUCCAUCUUAAGCCACUCUGGCCACUACAAUAAGCAGGGGUUUUUACUGAACUUGCUCCUUCAGUUGCAGGAUCCUUCCUUAUAAUAAAACACUUCAGUUUUCCUAACCCAUCCCUCAUGAAAACUGGUUGUGACCAUAGUGAGCCGAAAGAGGGAUGAGAAGCAACUGAUUCCCAAACUUCAGUCUCGUUGGUACCAACACUGAAGAACCACUCAUACUCAAAUCACAAUUGGUUUUGAAACACACUUACAGUUUUGUCUAUGACAAAUAUACACUGCAUAAGUCUUUUUAAAAAACAAUCCUCCAAUAUUACUUAGCAAGUUUGGAGAUGGAGACAUGAUUUGUGUUUUGCAACAACAGCUUCUCAACUAACAACUUAGAAAUCUUUCCUUUUUCACCAUCAAAACCUGCUUAAGAUAAGCCUUGAAAAUAGCCUAACAAUUUUACCAUGCUUAAGUCUUAAGAAUAAUAGAAAUUGAAAGUAUUUGGCAAAUAUUGGAGGGAAAAAAAAAUCUACAUAUAGGCCCAAAUGGGCUUUGGCCUUUUCUAUUUUUAAAUCACUCACAGAGGGUGGGAUAGGAGGAAGAGUGAAAGAAAAGGUCAAGCCUGAUUCUAAAAAGGGUUGGUCUUAAAAGCAUUGCUACCUCCAGAUCUAACUUGGGGAUUGCUGUUCUUAGUGUAAUUCAAUUUUAAUAACUGGUCACUGUUAAGAUGAGGACAAAGUCCUUUGUCCCUACUCAUUUCUAAAAGUUUGGCUUAAUGGCUAUCAGUUAAGCCUGGGGUUAUAUAAUUAUGGAAUUUAUUAAAUCUAUGUGACCUCUCCAUCAUAAGGUAGUCUUAAAGCUAAAGUCAGUCCACUACAUAGAAAGAGGACUUUAUCAUUCACUGUAAUUCAUACAUACUUUCAAAGCAUCUAAACUUUAAAGUUUACAUGGCAAGACAACAAUACCAUCUGUAAAUAUAGAAGGAAAUAGAAGAAUGGCAGGAGAUAGUUGAUGGAGGUAGCGAAUUUGAAGGUCAUUUGCGGUAAUGUUUGUAGUUUUUCCUUUGUACAUUUUUACUUAGGUGUAAGGUGUAUCUGAUAUUAAUAAUGUUUGUUGUUUAAUAUGUACUAUUAGCUGGACUCAGUAACUCCCCUUUCUCCAGGUAGGGAUGAGAGAUGCAUUAUUGGAAAGGAGAAAGUAACAGUCUUCGUUUCACAGUUUCUGGCAUCCCAAGGCCACCACUACUGAUAAACAAGAAUAACAGAACAUUCUGUCACCUGAUUUUUGUGGCAUAAAUGAAAUUGUGAACAAAUUUUUUUCUUAAGAAGAAGAAAUGGCUUUACAUCUACCCUUUUACCUUAAAAGGAUCUGUGCCAAAAUGCUCUGAUGAAUGGAAGACACACUUGGACUUGUGAACUGAUUUGAAACACAUAAUAUCUAAGCCUUGGUUGUUUUGAAGAUUGAAAAGUCUUGUUCAGUUCGGAUAACCACCAAAAAAGCAACCUAAAGCUGUCUAUAUGUCACAACUGAGACAAAUUGGGGAGUUUGUUUAAUGUCAAAUAAAAAUGUACUGUUUUGAAAGCUUUGUUUUUGAUGCUAAAACAAGUUCUACCUCACUGUCCUUUCCUAAUCACACUAGUUACCUCAGUUUUUGAAAAAGGUUGUCUUAACCACCCAGCUUGGGUAAGUGACUUGAGGUCUCAUUUUUUCCUCCUAGCUUCAGUUGCUUUGCUUAGAAAUGCUGAGCAGCACAUAGCCAAUUUUAAAGAUGUGUGAAGCAAAAAAAUUAUUGAAGAACAAGGGUGGGAUAGGAAUAGGGCAUAGAAAAUUUAAGGCUGUGGAAAGUAGGAUGUAUCCAGGAAGGUAAUCACUGUAAUGAAAGUAACAGGUCCAGUCCUUGAGUAGCUGAAGGGAUCUUUGAUGUUCUUAAAAUUAAAUACCCAAAUGUUAGAUUGGUGACUUCAUAGGCAGAUGACCCCAUGCAGUGUUUAUAGGCAAGAGUUUCUACUCCUUGGCAUCUUAUGCCAUUCUUAAUUUGGCUAGAGACAGUGCUCAGCUCCCUCUAACAAAUGUCAAUCACCACAAUUUUUCCCCCAUCAAAGGUUUUUUUUUUUUUUCCCCAGAUUUUUUUUUUUUUUUAAACAUGUCCAUCUUUGGAAUAAGACUUGCUGGAAUAAUGGCCAAUGUAGAGGAAAUAAACCUGUAAUGGAAGUCACAGAAGAGGCUGCAGGAUUUAGGAUAGUAUAGCACAGAAGGAAUUUGUUAUCAGGCAGGGGCUCUCAUAUCCUAGAGUUACAAAACAAAUGUUAAUCUGGUGGGGAGGACAGUCUGCACAUUUACCUGAUGGGCUGAUCGAUCAGAUACCAGUGCCCUUUAGUUGCUUCUGUGAUCCUUGCCUAUAUUCUAGUCCUUUGUCAUCUUAGUGUUUGCAUCUGUUCUGUCAAGUGCUCUCUAUUUCCUAAUGUCUCUGAAACAUCACAUUCUCACGUUUAUUAAAUUAGUCUGUGAUGUGAUUUCCAAGGUACUGCUACUGCUACUGCUAAGUCACUUUAGUCGUGUCUGACUCUGCAACCCCAUAGACGGCAGCCCACCAGGCUCCCCUGUCCCUGGGAUUCUCCAGGCAAGAACACUGGAGUGGGUUGCCAUUUCCUUCUCCAAUGCAUGAAAGUGAAAAGUGAAAGUGAAGUCGCUCAGUCGUGUCCGACUCAGUGACACCAUGGACUGCAGCCCACCAGGCUCCUCUGCCCAUAGGAUUUUCCAGGCAAGAGUAAUGGAGUGGGGUGCCAUUGCCUUCUCAAGCCUGUAUCUCCCUUUAUUGGUAGGUGAUGUCUGAUGUUCCAUUAUCUGGAGUUGAGUUUCUGAUUCUUUAAUAUAUGAUAAAGCAAGGACCGUUUUUCUUUUUUUAUCUACACAGAAACAACAGUGCCUUGCCCAUAUGAGAUACUCAACACAUACCUAUUGAAUUAUACUUAAACUUUAGGACCCUCUAGGAGAGUAAACAUGACAUUCUAUACCUAACGCAAGUACAACUAAUAACAUCUCUCCUAAUCCAUAGCAGAUGGUAUUAAAAGAAUCCUAAUAUUCCUUCUAUGCCUAGUCCCAGGAGACUGCUGGUUGCCCAUCAAAAUAUAUUCUCCCCUUGUUUAACAUGUGGCUGCUAAGCUAGACUACGUUUCCCCCCUUCCUUUGUAGUUAUGUGUUGCCAGAUGAUUAUAAGCAAUGAAAAGUGAAUGAAAAUGAUAGGUGCCAUUUAUGGGCCUGGUUUAAGGUAUGUUCCCCUCUACCUUCUCACCACCUACAAACUAGACAAUGGCUAUCCACCUUCAACCUUUUAGAUGAUAAAUCAUUCCUUAUGAGAUGGAAGUACAAUGACUUGAGAAAAAAGGAAGUUGCCCUUCUGCUCUGAACUUUUAAAAUUGAAAUGGUCAUGUCUCAAUGACAGGAAAUAAUAUUUAUUUAAACAUUGAAUUGUUGAUUUUCAUUCUUACAGUAGUCUAUUCUUUUCUCCAUAACUCAAAACAACUGGAUGCAGGAACACAAUCCUUUACACAGCAUUUCAUAUAAUUGCUACUAGUAAUAAACUUUCAGUUAUGACCUCAAAAAAGUUUCUCUUUUGUCCCACACCCUACUGUCUUUAAGAUAUGUAAGAUUUUAGUUGUGCUGUUGAGGCCUACUACUAAGUUUUCCACUUUGUUUCCCAACAAAAUUAGUAAUGUCAGAACUCAGCUAUGGUAACUUUUACAGGUUAUAGAUCUACCAUCAAGUUGUUGUCCAGGAUAUGCAAAGGGGAAGCAAAUGGUUUUAAGUUCAUCAAGCCAUAGACUUGGUACUGCUUAACAUAAUUAAGCCUUCCAAAUGUCUUCAGUAAGUCCAUAAUUAAAACAGUCAGAUGGAUCAUCACCUUCAAAUAAACAAAGCCAAAAGGGAAAAGGAGGCUGAGUAGUACAUUUAAGAAAUGUUUAUUUAAUCCUUACUGUUAGUGUUAGGCACAGGUAAAUAAAACUUUAAUAGACAUUGUCCCUGACCAAAGGUAACUUAAAAUCUAUUACAGGAGACCAGACAAGAGCCAAGGAAAUCUAAACAUAGUUAUACAUUGUGAUAAGAACAUUAAUAAGAAAUAGGAUGCAGUGAUAAGUGAGGGGGCAUAUUUACUUUAGAAAGGGUGGUUGAGAAGGAAUAUAUGAAAAGAUCAUACUUAAACCUCAGGAUAAAGAAGUCAAUCCAAAGGAAAUGGAUUGUACUUGCCAUGUAAGGUAAGUAAACUACAGCCAGCAAACUACAGGUCAUGGGUCAAAUCUGAUCUGUUUUAUA